rnacentral:rRNA from 1 species
AACGAACGCUGGCGGCAUGCCUAACACAUGCAAGUCGAACGAGACCUUCGGGUCUAGGGGCGCACGGGUGCGUAACGCGUGGGAACCUGCCCUUAGGUUCGGAAUAACUCCCCGAAAGGGGUGCUAAUACCGGAUAAUGUCUUCGGACCAAAGAUGUAUCGCCUUUGGAUGGGCCCGCGUUGGAUUAGCCAGUUGGUAGGGUAAAAGCCUACCAAGGCGACGAUCCAUAGCUGGUCUGAGAGGAUGAUCAGCCGCACUGGGACUGAGACACGGCCCAGACUCCUACGGAAGGCAGCGGUAGGGAGUAUUAGGGGAGGAGCGAAAGCCUAGUCCAGCAGUGCCGCGGGAGAGAUGAAGGCCUUAGGGUUGUAAAGCUCUUUUACCCGGGAUGAUAAUGACGGUACCGGGAAAAUAAGCUCCGGCUAACUACGUG